GCCCGGGUGGUCUAGUGGUAUGAUUCUCGCUUAGGGAUUUAAACCCAAGCAUAUCUGCGAGAGGUCCCGCGUUCGAUCCGCGGCUCGGGCC